AGAAGGGCCUGGAGCUAUUGUUUAUGAAGGAUUGUACCAAUCCAAGCCAGUUGCUGUAAAAAUUAUACGGCCACCCAAAACAACAGAAGUUAGUCUUGAUUGCCAAGAAAAGUUCCUGAGGGAAGUUUCAUUGCUUGCAAAAGUCAAACAUGAAAAUAUUGUCAAGUUCGUAGGUGCAUGCUUUGAACCUUCGAUGAUAAUUCUUACUGAGCUUCUGAGAGGAGGCAACCUUCAGAAGCACCUGUGGGGAAUGCGCCCCGGAACACUUGAUCUCAAAUGUUCAAUAAGUUUUGCAAUAGAUGUAUGUCGAGCUAUGGAAUACUUGCAUGCAAAUGGAAUCAUCCACCGUGACCUGAAACCAGGUUAUUGUUCAUUUUCCUUGUUCUUUCCUUUUUGUUCUAGUUGUUUGAGUUUAUUUUGGCUAGGGGACCAUUUGUUUGUCACAUAAUCUAGUUGUUUGGGUCACCCUUUGCUAGUAGAUGCCGGAAAUUUAUGGCCAUUUGUUUGUCACAGGCAUAUGGUAAGGCCUGAGCACGUCUUGGGCUUGUCAUUGGCGUGAAAAGUUCAUAGACCUCAGACAAGCUCCCGAAUUUUUUAAUAUUUCAAAAUACGUACAGAAUCUUGAAUUAUGUCGGUACAGAAUUGUAAAAUAUGUACUAAGAUUAUCGUUCUGCAUACAGAUUAAUGUGCCUUAAGUGUUUUGCGUGCAGCUCAUGACGAAUGACAAGACUUUUCUACAACAUGCAUUUCCACAUUUACAAGACGAGACAAAAGUGUUAUGAAUGUAGAUUGAUGACUACUGAAUCAAGAUUACCAAAUCAAACCCAAUUAACAAAAGAAAACAAAGAAACUCAACUCAAAAAAAAAAA